UCGGUGUCGCAGCUAACGCGUUAAGUACCCCGCCUGGGGAGUACGGUCGCAAGGCUGAAACUCAAAGGAGUUGACGGGUUCCCGCACAAGCGGUGGAGCAUGUGCUUUAAUUCGAGGCAACGCGAAGAACCUUACCUGGCCUUGACAUGGGAGCUCCGCCUUCGGGCGGGGUCAGCCCUGUGAAAGCAGGGUUAGUCCACACAGGUGCUGCAUGGCUGUCGUCAGCUCGUGUCGUGAGAUGUUGGGUUAAGUCCCGCAACGAGCGCAACCCUUGCGACUAGUUACCAACGGGUAAAGCCGGGGACUCUAGUUGGACUGCCGGUGAUAAACCGGAGGAAGGUGGGGAUGACGUCAAGUCAUUAUGGCCCUUACGGCCAGGGCUAGACACGUGCUACAAUGGUCGGUACAAUGAGCUGCAAUACCGCGAGGUGGAGCCAAUCUCAAAAAGCCGGCCUCAGUACGGAUUGGAGUCUGCAACUCGACUCCAUGAAGUUG
rnacentral:rRNA from 1 species